CCGACUUAUGCGAUACGCAGUAUAUGUAGAAUGGAGGUGUGUAAACUCUGGGUGCAGGAGGUUCUGUGUCUCUUAUCAACUUUAAUGAUUGUCAACACAUCAGUUAACACCAGUCGUGAACCAAAUUUAAAAAACACCACUCAAAGUUCAAUCUAUCUUCCUCAAUAUCCUAGUGGUAAGGCGGUAGAUGGCUGUAAAACACAAAUAUUCGACAGCAACAAUUGUUGUUCACAUACACAGACAGGUCAAAAGGAAGCAUGGUGGCAAGUAGAUCUAGAAGAACUUAUAAUGAUGGAACACGUCAAAAUUUAUUACAGAGG